GCUCCCUUCCUGCCGAGGAACACGAUGGCUGCGUACGCGGUGAUCGCCGCGGAGGACGCGGCGCAGCUGGUGUCCCUGCUGGCGCCCCUGCUCGUCGUGGCGCUCGUCGCCGCGGUGGUCGCGUCGGCGUGGGCGGACGGGGCUGUGCGCGUGGCCGCGGCGCAGGUGGACGCGCAGGCCGGGGAGUGGGCGCGGUACGUGUUCGGCUCGGAGGACGCGGAGCUCGCCGCGCCGCCGAGCCCGCUCCCGGUGGCGUGGCGAGGGGAGCACGGCUGAAGGCCUGAGGUAGUAGUCUACUAAUGUGGUGCGUGGAAUGCAGGCGGCAUAAUUCGCUGAUGCCUUAGACGUGUGCGAUGCUUAUAGUUGUCAAAGCAUCCUCUCUUCGUCUCGUUCACGGAUCAAAUAUUAUGGAUCCAUGUUCUCGCAAAGUGUCAUUAUAUUGUGAUAGUGUCUUACCAUUUGAUUGAUGGAUGUACUACUACCUGAUGACUGUCAAUUAGUGAAAGAAAAAGUAAUGAUGAUGAAUUAAUGAUUUACUAGCAAUAGCAACUACCAAGGCCUUCACUCAAAUCACUUUACAAUAACUUUUUAUUUACAUCAGGAUUCCCUCCAAACACCCAGAAAACUCUAAGCUCGUCAGUCGUCACCCAGAAUUCUCUACGGCUCGUCGCCCAGAAAACUCUACACGGAGCAGCUGGCGAUCAGCCGAUCUCGAUCACUCUACAGCUCGUUCACGUCGUCCUCGUCCGCGGCGCCGGCCGACCCGCCCGCGCCGCCUCCGCUCUUCUCGUACACCUGCUUGAUGAUGGGCCCGCACACCUCCUCCACCUCCCUGAGCUUCUCCUCGAAGUCGUCCUUCUCCGCCGCCCGCCCCGCGGCGCCGUCCUGCUCCUCCAGCCACUCCAGCGCCUCCGCCAGGGCGGCCUCCAUCCUCUCCCUGUCCUCCUCGCCGAUCUUCCCCGCCAUGCCGCCGGCUCCGUCCUUCACCGUGGCGCGCAUCCGGUACACGUAGUUCUCGAGGCGGUUGCGCGCAUCGACGCGCUCCCGGACGCGGCGGUCCUCCUCCGCGAACUCCUCGGCCUCGCGCACCAUCCGGUCGAUCUCCUCCUGGCUG
rnacentral:lncRNA from 1 species